CCCCACUCAUGCUCUGUCUCUCUCUCUCCUCUCGCUCUCAAAAAUAAACAUUAAAAAAAUUAAAAAAAAAAAAAGAAUCACUGAUGAAAAAUAAUGUCACAACAUAAUGUAUCCAAGUUCCAAAAUCUUCCAUUAAAAAAAGGUCUCAGUGUCAAAGGAUACUUGGUUCGGGAAGUCUUAAGCUUAUAAGACCUGUUCUGAAGUUGUACAUUAGAAAAGAAAUAGAGGAGUUACGCUCUUAAAUUUUACGUAUUUGGAGCCUAAGACCCAUACCGUCAAUCUCCACUUAUCCUAUCAUUUUAACUAAACAGAAAGCUGCAAAAUAAAGCCAACCAAAAUAGCUCCACAAAAAGGGCUACCACUUAAGCUGUUCCAUGUGCUACAUAUUAUACGGUGCUCUAAGUACUAUAUGUCUUAUAGAGAAUUCUACAGGAAACUCCCUGACAAUAAAGGAAGCAGUGUGGGAAGGGCGUGUAUGGUUCAUAUACCAAAAGGACCAGAGAAAGUGAUUUAUUAAAGGACUAACAAAAACUGAUGCGAUCUGCCCCAAGUCCCAACCUUCCCAAAAGGCCCUGGAAAAGUUCUGCUUACUCUGGUGACACUGCCUUCAGCCAGGCUGGAGACGCUAAAGCAUGCUUCCCCUUCCUGAGUCUUCAGUUUUUUAGAGGCGGGUCCCUCUUCAUGGCUGGAAAAGAAAUAAAUGGGUUUUGUCACCCCCCCCCAAAAACAGAAUAAACAACAGGAAACCCAGACUUGGCUGACGUGUAAAGUAUACAUUUCUUUUUCACGUGUCAAAAUUGAACAGCCGCACUUAUUCCCUCUUUAAAGAAGAGCCUGCCUCCUUCUCGCGGCCCCAGGACUCCUGCCGGCCUGGCGGGAGCAGAGCAGCCCUGGCUGUGCCUCACGGCGCCACAGAAGUCAUAAUCCGCAGCCGCGUCAUGCGGCCCCCAAGGAUGAACCGCAAGCACAGGGAGAGGCAAUGCAGCGUUUCACGAAGAGACCCGUUUGCCCUUCAGAAAGUAUUUGCUUGUUUCUGUCCCAGAAUCGAUAUCUAUUAGCUUUCCAUGGACACAGAUGACCUUUGGGUCUACUAUCCCAUCUUCUCCAUCAUGGAUGUGAGAGCUUUGUAAGCUUCUACUCACAGCUGUCAAAACUUACUAGACAAUCCCUAAUUAAAUAUGUAAGACCUUAUUCUUAGAGAAGUCUUAAACUUAAAAAACCACUUUCAAAAAAAGCCUUUUAAUUUGUUCUUUUAUAAACCUAAUUCUGUUUUGGGCAAUAUGCUAACAGUCUACCAGCAUCUGUGUGGUAAGGGAAAGAGGAUUCCAAGGAUUUAUAUCAAACAUCUUGUCUCAAGUAACCGGCUGGCUUCAACAGCCUCCCUUAAAGUCAAGAGGAGGACAAAUUAAUUGCAAAGGAGAAGAAAUCAAAUUCAAAGACUCUGCCCAUAAUCUCCCAUAAGCUGAUGAACCUAUAGAGAUAUGAAGACUUUCCCCCAGACAAAUAAUCAAUCUAGGCCAAAAGUAGCUGUCAAGAAAUGGCUGAAGGAGGAGGGACGUUAGUAACUAAGAUCUAGGAUUUCUAAGCAUGAGGUGUUUUCGUUCAAAAGCCCUAACUGCAGAGAAUGAGUCUUGAAGAAGAGGUUAUUCUAAAAACAAAGAAAAAUGAAGUAUGAGCUGGCUUAUUCAAUAAUAUUUCAAUAAUGAGUCUUCUCUUCCAGUGGGAUAAAAGGACCGAAGCAAUCGUUACAGCCUCACAAACAUGAACUGAAACUUUUUAUUACUUGACAUCUUUCCCAUUGGCCACUUGCCUUUUUCCCUUUGAGAAGUAAAGAAAAGAAGACAAAAGGAUGGGGGCGAGGAAACAUUAAAAGGGGUGAGUCAUCCAGAGUUCUUUCCACCACGUAGAAUAAGAAAUAAACACAAAACCUUGAUGGCAAAAAUGGAGGAAAAAUGCACAAGCCCAAGGGAGCAUGAAAUUCCAUAAGAAUUUGAGUCUGUUAAAGAAAAAGUCACAGCCAUUCAGUUCACCUUUGCCAGUUCUUCCCAAGGGACAGAAAACAUGGUGCUCCUGGAUCCCAGUCUCACUUUUCCCACUGACUAACCCUGGACUCUUACACCUUCUUGAAGGAAUUGAUUUUGAAGAUAUAUUAAUUUUUUUAUACAUAGAGUUUAAAGUCUAGUAAGUGACUCCUGUCUCUGGUCUUCUGUUUGCUCCUUAGAAAAACACUAUGAUGAAAAGUACCAUGAGCAUAUCAACUACUCAUCUACUGUCUUCCAAAAACACAAAUUAACUUAGACCGUGGUGAAAAGAAGUAUGAGAUAUCCAAAGUGCUAUGCUAAGUUCUGUGAGAAUGCAAGGUUGAAUUGCAUGAAGAAUUUCUUAAACCCUCCAAAAUAAGGUUCUAGGGAAGGAAGGACAAAGCGACAUAUAUAUCAAUCCUCCAGGACUGGGCAGGUAAAGGCAAUAAACAGAAAGUAGUAAAAAUUUGAAUACGGUUAAUAUUCUCAAGAUUGAACCAUUUAAUAGCAUUAUUAGGAAUUUUACAAAUAUUAAACUAAUCAUGUCUCUCGGUGGUGGGAAAGGGCAAAGACUCUCAUCCCAAAAUUACCUAUGAAGAAGCCGAGCUCUGGAGGACAGAAAUUAUCUAUGCAAGACUCCAGCAGACAUACAAAUGUCAACAGCUACUGCAUGUGGAUAUCGGAACCAUGGAUAAUUUAUUGUACUUUCUCAUUUUCUUACUGUCUUUUGUAAAUCUGUAUACAUUUUUAAACUCAUUUUUUUGGUCAAACAUUUACCUAAUACUAUGUGCUGGCCGCUAAGCUCUAUCGUAAAUGUACAAAAAUUAAUAUGUAAUCAACACUUUAGGAAAUUCAGCCAAAUAUAAAAGAUAGAUAUGUAAACAGGCAAUUAACAAACUACUGUGGCAAGCAGCAUAUCCUCUGAGAGAAUAGCCAGUUGCUGUCCUGGGCUGAGGCAGGAGGGGCAGGCUGGGAAGUAGUGAGAUAGGAGGCCGGGAAAUACAGUAGUCCCCCCUUAUCCAUGGUUUUGCUUUACAGUUUCAGUUACUCGCCAUCAACUGUGGUUUGAAAGCAGAUGACUUAUGGUGAGAAGGUCAACAGUAGCCUAAUACUAUGUCACUAUACCUACAUCCUUCACCUCACUUCAUCUCAUCACAUAGGCAUUUUAUCACCUCACAUCAUCACUACAAAGGGGAAAGUGCUAACACAGUCCCCUACUACCACAAGUUACGCAGUUGAGUUUCCCACAUUUGGGGAAAUCACAGGGGUCAGCACACCAAAGUGCAAUAGAUAAACCUCACCCUGGGAAAACCACCUUCGCAAUCAGGUAUCUCUCCUGCCAGCUCAAAGUAUUUUUAUGUUUUUCAGUAGAAGAGGAAGGUAUUACUCUUUCAUUAAAUAAAGCAACUGAAGCCCUCAGAGGACAAAAAUGCUUGUGGCCAAUUACACUCUUUUCACCCACUCAUUUAAAAAAUUUUUCACUCAUUAAAAAAAAAAAAAAAAGACUGGUUCAUCUUCCCUCUCUUACCUGAUACAACCUCUGAUGUUGAGGGUUUGGGAUUUUGGUGGUUGGAAACAAGUCUUCAAUGGUGUCUUCCUUUUCAUCUUUCUUUACCAAGCUCAUGGAGUCAAUCAAAGCAUCAACAGCACUCAACUGAGCCUCUAAAACAAGGAUAAACAGAGCAGUGCCAAGGAAAAAUGAUUACGUCCACUGUUCUACACUAAAACAAAAUGCUUUCCAUUCACAGAUACAGAAAUACUGGCAAGUUACACAGUCCAGGCCUGGCCAAAAUAGUCUCUAGUCAUGCAAGUCAUUUAACUAAACUGAGUCUUGGUUUUCUCGUUUGUAAAAAGAGCUAUUUAGAGUAGCUGGUCUCUUAGGUCCUAUCUAGCUAUACCAUUUGGUCAACUUUCACAGUGUAAUACCAUAUCGAAAGCAAAAGUUUGUUCCAAAGGAAGCACCACAGCCAUACAAAACCCAUCUUCCAUACGGUGACUCAAAAUAUUCAGUAUUCAAUGAGUUAGUAUGUUCAAAAAAUUAGUAAUUAUCUGAAGGAGAAAAACAUGGAAAAGAAAAUACCUUUGGUGAGAAGGCAUAAGCUUUACCAGGAUUUCCUAGAACUUGUAUCAGACUGACUUGAUAGGAAGACAGAAAAACCCAAAGGGAAGACACUGGCAGACCAGAGGGAGUAGACUCCUUCUCAAUCUCCACAAGUCAGAAUGAGCUCUCUCCUCUCCCAAACCAUAUGGCCUGUAUGCACACCUGUGCACACGUCUUACCCCACUCUAUCCAAACUGUAAGACCCUUGAGAGCAGAAACAUGACAACUUCAUUACCUCCCUCCCAAUACCUAACAGAAAGCAACUGCUCUUAAAUAAAAAUCUACCGACUCAACAAAAAUGGCACAGUCCAGAGCAAGGCGGAUUGAAGGCAACACUCUCCAAAACGCUUCCACCUAAACUACCGUGUGUAACUUCCAUUCUGCUGAUUCACACAGCAGCUCAACUGUUAAAAGCUGAAGUGCUAUUUUUGGACCAUUCACAGCCAGUCGGCAAAAGGCGGAAGAGAAUAAGCAGCUCCUAAAAAGCCUACUAGGCUUCUAUUCUUCACCUUCUCAAGUAUCCCUUUUACUACAAAAAGAAAGAGCUUAUAGAUAUUUAUCAUGAUACGUUUCUAUCCCAGUUUCAGACUUUCCAGGGGGAGCUUUCAGACCUUACCACCUGGCACCACCUUAAGCUGACUACUGCAGGGUCCACUGGCAAUAGGGAGGAGGUUGCACCUGUGGUGGGAACGUUCCGUGGCUGUUACUUGCUACUUCAAGCUACUAUCAAGACCUCUACAUAAUUGGAAUUGCAUACCUCUACAUAAGCAUCUACUUGGGACACGUGCCAAACAGGUUUAAUGAUCCAUUUUGCAAUGGAGAAAAUGCAAAUAAUAAUACACAAACACAAAGGAAAUAAAGCAAGGCAGAAAGAUACUGAAUAUUUUAGAUCCUGAGUAAAUGGUUUAUAUGUCUAUAUGAUAAUUUUUCAACAAAGCUCUCUUUUUUAAAUGUCUAUGCAUUUAACAUUUGAAAUUAUCAAGAUGUAGAGAAAUGAUACUGUAAACACAGUGCAGGCUUCUAUACAUUCAAGUCCAUGCCUGGCUCCGCCAUGAUGCACAGGGACUCAUUUGUAGAAGGUAAAGACACAGUGCUAGGCCCCCUUUGGUUCGUGGCUUUUCUACUGCACACAGAUCGUAACAGAUCUAACCAAAAAAACAGAAAGAACCCACUUCUGAGACUCAUCUCACAACCCCCUAAUCCUACAAUGACACACAGAUUUAAACUUUCAAACUAAAACAUCUACUCAUUUUUUUUGUGUUCUUUUUGGUAUAUUCAUCACAUUUGGCCCACUAUGAUGUCUUAUGCUGCUGCCUUAAACAGUGAGCUCUCUCAAAGACAGUAUCUGUGAGCAUCAUUCUGUGUGGCACCCUGACAUUUGUAGCCAGGUGCUUAAUAAAGUCCUUUUCUCAUCAAGCCCAAAGUUAACUCCUAGAAACAAGGAACAAGGAGACUGGAACUGUUACUGUAAACUACAAAGAAAAGGCAAAGAGAAAAGUUAAUCUCCAGCACUGUUACUUUACAGUUCAAAGACAGUUACAUUGUAUUUCAUGUGGGACACUGAAGUCACAGCUUUGACACUAUACAUCAGUUCACUUCAGCAGAGGGCGAACUGGUUCACAACCAGAGAAUGUACAUCCAUUUCCCACAAGUUGCUCCCUAGAUACAAACUCUAAGUCAGAAAUGGGAAACCAGACAGUGUUUGGAGAGUCCAGGGCAAACCUACCCCUACUUUCAUCAUGCCCCACUUUCAUCGUCACUGCGUACGAGUGUGACUGGAAUCCAAGCAAUUCCACUCUGUGAAAUCCCCUGGUCCCAACCAUGACUGCAGACAGGUGAUUUCCCAAGAACAGUCUGUGUUUAGAGGCAAUCAAUGAGCAAAUGGAAAUAAACUCACCUGUGGGAGUGCAUUUCUUACUAUUUUUCAAGGAUGAAAACAUAUAUUGUCGCAAGUCUUCCAUAAAAGGCAGCUGCACGUACAUUAAACACUAAUGAGAAAGAAAGGAAGUAAAAGCAGAAACAACCAAAUUAAUGGAAAAAAUAUAAAGCUGGUCUCAAACACCAUGAAGGUGGCACAACUGAAGUAUUUCAAAAGUCAGACAACUCAAGUCUGGUACAUGUUUCUCUUUUCUACCACAGAAAAGUUCUCUGAGAAACAGUAUGUGACAAAGAAUCUGGGCCUAUAUUUUGAACAGGAGAACCCUAAAUAAACGGAAUUUUUCUCUUCCAAUUAUUAUUUAAAUUCUAGUUGGUUAACAUACAGGGCAAUACUGGUUUUGGGAGUAGAAUUCAGCAAUCCAUCACUUAUCAUACAACAACCACAUCACAACAAGUGCCCUCCUUAGUACAGACCCUCCCUUCCCCACCUCCCUCUGUCAAGCCUGUUUGUUCUCUAAGAGUCUGAACUGAGUUUUUCAAGGAUCACAACAAAAUCAUAUCCUCGACCUUUAUUCAUAGUCUUCAUUUGUAAAAAUGAGGGUACUCUCUCUCCCCAUUAGGUUCUGAAAAAUCAAGAAGGGUAAGAAUCGAGAGGUCACUGGAUUGGGCAAGCAGAAGGUUUAUUGUUAACUUUCAUCGAUUUGAUUUAAUCAUAAGUUCCUUACCUACUUUCACAAUUUGUUUUUUUCACUGCAACUGAGGUGUGGUUCACACACCAACAGCAUCAGCAUUACUUGGGAAUUUGUGAGAAACGCACAGUCUCAAGCACCUCCCCAGACCUACACUAUCAGAUCACCAAGUAAUUCCCAUGCACAGUAAUAGCUGAGAAGCACUGUUUGGAAUAAAGGAACUGAGGGAAAAUAAUUAACUUGAAAGACCUGUGGGUUGUACCUCAUAG